GCUCCUGCUCCUCGCUGAGCUGCGAACGGAGGGCAGGGCGGAUGACGGACGCGAGAGGUCGAGACCAGGAACCCCUGUCCUGGCCCCACCGCGUGGGACGCGGCCCGGGCCCGGCGUUAUCACCCGGGCAGAUUAAACGCCUCACCAGGCCUGCUCUGUGCAGAACUUCCACCUUUCACCACACUCCGCUCCUCUGAACUUCCUCUCUUCGUCAGCCCCAGGGCGUUGAGGCUGGGUUUCUCUCCAGCUCUCUCCACUUUAGAAGAGACUCUUCUAAGUAUUUUGCUUUUCCAAUUCCUGUUGCUUCCGUCAUUGUGAAGAGUCACCCAGGCCGCUGGAGCUCAGUACUCUAAGAUCAAGUUCAGAACAGGUCUGUGUGUGAAGCUAAAGGACAUACAUACGCACACCCUUGUGGAGUGAUACUGUGUGGUGGAAGGACUACUACAACUCAAAGGAAUAGUUAAUAAAUCCAGUAUUAAUCUGUUGCGAGAA